rnacentral:rRNA from 1 species
ACGGGUGAGUAACGCGUAGACAACCUACCUUCUAGAUGGGGACAACACCGCGAAAGUGGUGCUAAUACCGAAUGUCGUAAUCAUAGUGCAUACUGAGAUUACCAAAGGUGGCCUCUAUUUAUAAGCUACCGCUAGAAGAUGGGUCUGCGUCUGAUUAGCUAGUUGGUGGGGUAACAGCCCACCAAGGCGACGAUCAGUAGCCGGUCUGAGAGGAUGAACGGCCACACUGGGACUGAGACACGGCCCAGACUCCUACGGGAGGCAGCAGUGGGGAAUCUUCCGCAAUGGACGAAAGUCUGACGGAGCAACGCCGCGUGAGUGAAGAAGGCCUUCGGGUCGUAAAGCUCUGUUAUUAGGGACGAACGUACUGUGUGUAAAUAAUGCAUAGUAGUGACGGUACCUAAGGAGGAAGCCACGGCUAACUACGUGCCAGCAGCCGCGGUAAUACGUAGGUGGCAAGCGUUGUCCGGAAUUAUUGGGCGUAAAGCGCGCGCAGGUGGGAUGUUAAGUCUGCUGUAAAAGUGCGGGGCUCAACCCCGUGAAGCGACAGAUACUGGCAUUCUUGAGUGCAGGGAGAGGAAAGCG